CAUAGAUUCGGAUGUUAGAAGCAUCAAGUCACAAUAUCCGGUGCUGAACAAUCACCCAUACUCAGAGGAAGGUCAGACCCCGCUAUGAUGCAGGUGAUGAGUCAUGCCAAGCUGCACACAGAGAUGGAAGUAGGGAUGGGACCAUUUUCCCCAAUUUGAUGGAACUCUGCUUCUGAUACGGUAGGCCACAGACAUGAAUAGCUACUGAGCACUGGAAACGAAGAAUCUAGAGAGAGUUUACACCACUGACUUCACUGACAAAGACUAGACAUGAAUGUGAAUUCCACCAAGCCAAGGACGGGCCUAUUUGUUCACUUCCCUAUUCUCAGUGCCUUCUAAAGCAGUACUCAGUACACGAAUGUACCUCUAUCCCAAGUACAAUGCAAAUUCACAAGAAUCCUAAGAAAUCAAUGAAGAAACUUAAAGUGGACCAAAUGUACCCCAAAUUGGGUAUGAUGCCAUGAGAUCAAUGAAUCUGAAGAUCUAAGAGGCGACAGAUGAGGGCUGUUUCUUCAGCCAGGGUCCAGAAAAGAAGAAAGCAUGAAGCAGAGCUUCAGCAGAACCAUGAUGAACAUUAAUAUGAGUG